rnacentral:rRNA from 1 species
GAUGAACGCUGGCGGCGUGCCUAAUACAUGCAAGUCGAGCGAACGGACGAGAAGCUUGCUUCUCUGAUGUUAGCGGCGGACGGGUGAGUAACACGUGGAUAACCUACCUAUAAGACUGGGAUAACUUCGGGAAACCGGAGCUAAUACCGGAUAAUAUUUUGAACCGCAUGGUUCAAAAGUGAAAGACGGUCUUGCUGUCACUUAUAGAUGGAUCCGCGCUGCAUUAGCUAGUUGGUGAGGUAACGGCUUACCAGGGCAACGAUGCAUAGCCGACCUGAGAGGGUGAUCGGCCACACUGGAACUGAGACACGGUCCAGACUCCUACGGGAGGCAGCAGUAGGGAAUCUUCCGCAAAGGGCGAAAGCCUGACGGAGCAACGCCGCGUGAGUGAUGAAGGUCUUCGGAUCGUAAAACUCUGUUAUUAGGGAAGAACAUAUGUGUAAGUAACUGUGCACAUCUUGACGGUACCUAAUCAGAAAGCCACGGCUAACUACGUG